rnacentral:misc_RNA from 1 species
UUAAUUAGUCGACGACUAGAUUCAGAGUUUGCGAAUCGUUAAAAAAAAAUUGUCUUCCGCGCCUCGUGUUUUAUACGAAGAAAAUAAAAAAAAAAACGCGUACUCAACUUUUGGGACCACGACGUUAUUGAUUUUCUUCGCACAAGUUACGUCGCUUUGAAAUGGUCGUUACCCUCCUGAAAACAUUGGGGUGCCGUGUCUUACCCUCUGUUGCGGGGUGAAAUAAAAUUCCUUAAAACAUACUGUAGAUACACGCACUUGGUGGCACAUUUUUUACGUUAGUUGGUGAAAGUGGUGCAAAACGUGCAAAUACAAACAGAGACAAAAAUGAAGUUGAUAUCAGUGAAUUAUUUAGGGUUUACUGCAAUGGACAGAAGGUUUUCCGCCCCCAUGUUACCCUGGAUAGUGUCGGAAAUCAAAAAGAGAGAUUAUAUAGAACGGAUAAGUGUUGGGGUAGAGGAUGGUUAUUUGCAGGCAUAUAACAGUGAUUUCGAAGUCCAAUUUUCGCACUCGAUCUCAAUGAUCUACCGAUUCUCCCAAGCUGACGUCGAUCCUUGCACUUUUCUGUAUCUCUACAGGGACGACAUUGACCAGCUCUUGUUUUGUUACCUUUUUCAGGCCCUUAAACAAUCUGACGUAACGGAGGUUUAUCAGCAAAUGAAGGAUAAUCAGAGCCUGUAUACGCCGACGCCUCCCAGAUCUUUAAGCAGUGGCUCCAGUUUGACUUCCUUGAGCCUGGAUAUCUCUCCAAGUUCUAGUAAUUUUUUCGAGGUUCUUUACAUUGGAAAAAUCAAAGUUUGGAAUCGGAAAGUCCCUGAUUCAUUCAUAGAUGAUGCUCUUCAGAAAUUUGAAGCUCACGAUCUAGAAAAGAAAGCCAAUGUCCGCGCUCCAAUUGAACGUCUCCAGAGUGAACAAGAUUUGUAUAGGAGGUUAGCAAAUGGCCCUCGAGCAGAAAGGCAAUCGUCUCCCGAGUCUCCACCUGUACCAUCUCUAACAAGAUCACUCUCAGUGGCGUCUAGUCUUAUUCCGAAACAAAUCGAAAACCAAUACCGUAAAGAGAUAUUGUCUACCAACGAGAGUGACAUAAGUGAUAAUUUCUCGAAAAUCUCGAUCCCUGAAGAUGGUUCCGAAGACACAAAGAGCUCUAAAAGCGAAUUAUCGGAGACCUCAUCGUUUACUGAAAGUAGCAAAGCGGGAGGAGAUACUACCAGUACAAGUGAUUAUAAAGAAGGAAGUGAUUCUUCGUCGGUCACCAGCAGGGAUGAAAAGAAAGAAAUGACCAGAACUGUUGUCGAUAUGGACGACCACAACAGAACGAUGGUUUUGCAAGUGGGGCGAAUAGACUUGAGACUUAUUAGCCCAGACAGAAAACUUAUCUUAUUGCACAAGCAGACUAGGGACAUUGCUACGUGUGUACAAGGACGUGAAAAUUCCUCCCAUUUCGGGUUCAUCUCCAGAGAAACACCCACAUCCAAUAUCUUCAUAGGAUACGUAUUUAAAUGUGAGUCUGCAUCAAUAGCCAGUGAAGCAGUUGGAGCAAUAACUCAGGCAUUUACUAAUGCUGAAUCAAAAUUUGCUCGACCUAUCAUUACCUCAUGUGAGCAGUGUCCAAUGGUCUGGUUUCAUAAAUUGUGCGUCGAAGUGGAGAAUUUAAGUGACAGAAAAACUCAAGCAGCGAUUUUGAGAAGAAUAGACCAAUUAGACGAAGAAGAACAGAGCAUGAUAUUAGCAAAAUUUAGAGGAGCUGAAACAGAUUCAGUUCGUGAACAGAAUGAGUUCCUCAUGAUGUUGCUGAGAGCACAUUGUGAAAUGAAGCAGGGUCGUCACGUCCACGAUACAGCUGAAAACAGGUCUGAAUUUUUGAAUCAGUAUCUGGGAGGCAGUACGAUCUUCAUGAAAGCCAAAAGGUCCUUGACAAAUUCGUUUGAUAACUUGUUAAAGAGGAGGUCGUCCAGGGAUGACGUGGGGGCAACAUUCAAUAGAGAUAUGACAUUGCCAAUCCAUUCAAGUUUAAAGGAAGGAAUGUCGCCUGCAUCCGCUAAUUUUCAAGAGACGUCCGAUCGUGAAUCUGAAGGCUCACACUCUCCUUCCACUCUAGGUUCUCAAAGCGAUCUUAGGGAUCCUAAAAAUGGAAACCCUGAGCCACAAACCCAAAGCAAUGUGUCACCUGAAAGAACAGGAACUGCAACAGACAAGGGACUCAAAUCUCCCAUGAUGGACAUAUUUAUGAAAGUUGGAAGUAGUCCUAAAUCCGUACCCUACGAUGAAGGAUCUCCAAAGUACGAUGCAGGCUCUUGGAGACAAGCUAUUUUUAAAAGGGUAAUAACUCCAAAUAAACAGCAAGCAAGAGAUAGUGGACAAAAGAGGAGUAAUGAAGAACUGAGGAUGCUUUGGAAGAAGGGCAUCCAACAAGCCAUCUUGUUAGUCCGGAUGGAAAAGGAAAAUGCGAGGAUAAAGGCUCAACAGGAAGAGAACGCAGUUAAACGCAUAAAACUGGAGUAUGAUGACAUGAAACUGAAUCAGAGAGAAGUUAUGGAAGUGUGGGAUCAAAUGAUCGACAAGGAUAUUCGGGUGACUAGGGAUAACAAUCUGCUGCUUCAUGCAGUAAGACAAGGUAUUCCAAGAGCGAAAAGAGGAGAAGUCUGGCAAUUUUUGGCAGAAGAAUCCUGCAAGCGCACAGCUCCCGUUGACACUAGCAAAUUCCCAAAUUACAACGUGCCUUAUGAAACAUUAUUAAAGCAACUCACCUCUCAUCAACACGCCAUACUUAUUGACUUAGGAAGGACUUUUCCUAAUCACUCUUACUACAGUAGUCCCCUUGGACAAGGCCAACUGGCACUAUUCAACUUGUUGAAAGCAUACUCGCUUCUAGACCCAGAAGUGGGAUAUUGUCAAGGACUCAGUUUUGUCGGAGGUGUUCUACUUCUUCAUAUGGAGGAAGCUCAAGCCUUCUCUUUGCUUCGACAUUUGAUGUUUCGAAGAAAUCUUCGCAAACAAUACUUGCCAGAUAUGGUGGCCUUGCAGAUCAAACUUUAUCAGAUUUCUAGGUUACUCCACGAUCAAAUUCCUGAGCUUUAUGAUCAUUUCGACCUGCAUGAGGUUGCCCCCACAUUGUAUGCAGCUCCUUGGCUACUCACCAUCUUCGCCUCUCAAUUUCCCUUAGGAUUUGUGACAAGAGUGUUUGACAUUCUGUUUUUGGAAAACACUGAUAUUAUCUUCAAAGUGGCGAUCGCUCUCCUCUCCCUUCAUAAGGAUAAUCUUCUCAAAUGUGAUAGUUUCGAAGAGAUUAUGGACUACCUCAAGAAUAAAGUUACCAAUAUGGACAAAUUUAUGUUGGAUAAGGUUAUCAAGAAGGUGGCUACGUUGGACAUAAAGAAACAGCUAAACGAAUACAAAGUGGAAUAUCAUGUCCUGCAGGAAGAAAUGGCCGCUGUUCAACCCCAACUUGAAGCAUUACAUAAAUUGCAAAAGGAAAACAAAAUUCUCACUGACCUUAAUAAGUCAUUGACGUCUCAAGUUGACCUUCACAUGUCCAACGUACACAGGCUCGAAAAGUCGCGAACUAUCCUUCAAUCGAAUUGCAAUAAAUUAGAAAUGACAAAUAGAGGCCUGGAAGUCACUGUGGUGACCUUGGUAUCGUUCGUUAACAGCCUGAUAGAGAACAAAGUGGACGUGGAAAUUCCUGACGAUGUCCGAAGGAUUUUGACACAAGUUUCUUUUAAUGAGAAGAACAAAAAAGACCAAGCUCACAGAUCGAACGUGAUGAGGAUGUUUGGCAAAGAUAAUCAUCCAAAUGCGCAAAUGGAUGACUGUAGUCGAAGUUGACGGAGGGACAUCAACAAAUGCCACGUCCCACGAAGUCAGAUUAAGAAAAAUGAGAUGGAAGAAUAAACAGAAAGGAUCAAGUCCUUGAGUACCGGUAAAAUGAACUUAAGUGAACUAACGCCGUUUCU